GACGGUAGGCCUCUGGGUCACCUCCCACCCGUGUUUAUUUACCUUGUUGCUUCGGCGGGCCCGCCUUAACUGGCCGCCGGGGGGCUUACGCCCCCGGGCCCGCGCCCGCCGAAGACACCCUCGAACUCUGUCUGAAGAUUGUAGUCUGAGUGAAAAUAUAAAUUAUUUAAAACUUUCAACAACGGAUCUCUUGGUUCCGGCAUCGAUGAAGAACGCAGCGAAAUGCGAUACGUAAUGUGAAUUGCAAAUUCAGUGAAUCAUCGAGUCUUUGAACGCACAUUGCGCCCCCUGGUAUUCCGGGGGGCAUGCCUGUCCGAGCGUCAUUGCUGCCCUCAAGCACGGCUUGUGUGUUGGGCCCCGUCCUCCGAUUCCGGGGGACGGGCCCGAAAGGCAGCGGCGGCACCGCGUCCGGUCCUCGAGCGUAUGGGGCUUUGUCACCCGCUCUGUAGGCCCGGCCGGCGCUUGCCGAUCAACCCAAAUUUUUAUCCAGGUUGACCUCGGAUCAGGUAGGGAUACCCGCUGAACUUAAGCAUAUCAAUAAGCCGGAGGAA
rnacentral:rRNA from 1 species